AGAGUUUGAUCCUGGCUCAGGAUGAACGCUAGCGGCAGGCAUAAUACAUGCAAGACGAACGGUAAGCUUUGUAGCAAUACGGAGCCUAGAGUGUCGUACGGGUGCGUAACACGUAUGCAACCUACCUUUUACAGGAGUAUAGCUCCCCGAAAGGGGAAUUAACCCUCCAUAAUAUCAUUGGAUGGCAUCAUUUGAUGAUUAAAACUGAGGUGGUAAAAGAUGGGCAUGCGUCUGAUUAGUUAGUUGGCAGUGUAACGGACUACCAAGACGAUGAUCAGUAGGGGACCUGAGAGGGUGAUCCCCCACACUGGCACUGAGAUACGGGCCAGACUCCUACGGGAGGCAGCAGUAGGGAAUAUUGGACAAUGGGUGAGAGCCUGAUCCAGCCAUGCCGCGUGCAGGAAGAAGGCGUUAUGCGUUGUAAACUGCUUUUGCCAGGGGAUAAAACGGUUCUGCGGAACUAAUUGAAGGUACCUGGUGAAUAAGCCACGGCUAACUACGUGCCAGCAGCCGCGGUAAUACGUAGGUGGCAAGCGUUGUCCGGAUUUAUUGGGUUUAAAGGGUGCGUAGGCGGCCCUGUAAGUCAGUGCUGAAAUAUCCCGGCUUAACCGGGAGGGUGGCAUUGAUACUGCAGGGCUUGAGUACAGAUGAGGUAGGCGGAAUUGACGGUGUAGCGGUGAAAUGCAUAGAUAUCGUCAAGAACACCGAUAGCGAAGGCAGCUUACCAAGCUGUAACUGACGCUGAGGCACGAAAGUGUGGGGAUCAAACAGGAUUAGAUACCCUGGUAGUCCAA
rnacentral:rRNA from 1 species